rnacentral:rRNA from 1 species
CAGUUCGGCUGGAUGAGUGACAGGUGCUGCAUGGCUGUCGUCAGCUCGUGUCGUGAGAUGUUGGGUAAGUCCCGCAACGAGCGCAACCCUCGCCUUUAGUUGCCAUCAUUUAGUUGGGUACUUUAAAGGAACCGCCGGUGAUAAGCCGGAGGAAGGUGGGGAUGACGUCAAGUCCUCAUGGCCCUUACGCGUUGGGCUACACACGUGCUACAAUGGCGACUACAGUGGGCAGCGACCAUGCGGGUGGAAGCUAAUCUCCAAAAGUCGUCUCAGUUCGGAUUGUUCUCUGCAACUCGAGAGCAUGAAGGCGGAAUCGCUAGUAAUCGCGGAUCAGCAUGCCGCGGUGAAUACGUUCCCAGGCCUUGUACACACCGCCCGUCACACCAUGGGAGUUGGUUUCACCCGAAGGCAGUGCGCUAACCGCAAGGAGGCAGCUGACCACGGUGGGAUCAGCGACUGGGGUGAAGUCGUAACAAGGUAGCCCUAGGGGAACCUGGGGCUGGAUCACCUCCUUAAGCUUGGAUCCCGGGAUCCGAAUUCGUCGACAACAGAGUUUGAUCCUGGCUCAGAAUUCGACAACC